rnacentral:rRNA from 1 species
AUGAUGAUCCUUUGCUGGAACUGCCGGGCCUUAGGGCAACCCCGGACAGUUCCAGAGCUUGUGUGCCUGGUGCACACGUACGAGCCCAAGGUAGUUUUGCUCUCUGAAACACGGCAAAGCAAUGAGUAUCUGAAUAAAUUGAGAUGGAGGCUAGGCCUCAAGCACUUAUGCAACCCGACACUGGAAAGAGUGCGGUCAUUGCACUGUUCUAUGAUGAGAACGUUGAAAUAA